rnacentral:lncRNA from 1 species
GCAUGUCAAAAAGAUCAAAAUGGGCACCAAUAAAAAGAGAUCCACAUUUAGCUUUUUCACAAUUCUUGAUUCAUUUAGAAAAACUAGACAAACAAACAAAAAGAAGACAAUGUUUUCCUUGUUUGCAAGUGUAAUAAGGUGGAAAACAGAGCUAUAAUAAAUCUGUUUUACAAACAACAACUCAUGGUAUAGUGUAGCAGUCCGUACCUCUACGUCAGGGUGAGAUAGAGAGGCAGUUUCUGAUGGAAAUAAAUAUGUUUCACAACAACAACAAGAGAGAGUAGAGUGUAUGCAGUACCUACCUCUACGUCAGGAUGAUGAGAUAGAGAGGUUGUUUAAAUAUGUUUUGUGUGGUCAAAAAGAAAGGUGAGAAUGGAUGGAGUGGAUAUGAGUAGUGUAUGAAAAGAAAAUGAAAGAUGAAAAUGGUGUUAGGAUUAAAUGCAAAAGACAUAAGAGAGCAGACUGGCUGACAGAGAAGAAAAGGAAUUGCGUGUUUGAGGAAUGGGGGAGAGAGGAUGUCAAUAAAAACAUUUAUUAUGGUAAAGAGAAAAAGAAACAACUUAGUAUUUUUUAUUCCAUCCUUAAUUACGGUAUAAAAAUAAUACUUAUUAUAAUUUUGGAAUGACUAAUUUAGAAAUAAGUCAUAUCGCAAUGUUAUUUCAACCAAAUAUGAAAUAAAUUCAUCAUAAAAUUAAUUUUGUAUUACCCAAUGAGUUGCACCAAACGAGCUCUAAAAGAUAUAAGGGUUAUGGUAGCUUUCCAUCUUUGUUAUUUUGCUAGGUAUUUUUGUUUUAUUUCAAUAACCUUCUUUUUUUUUUAGUCAACGAUCUAUCAAAAAUAAUCAUUCUAUCUCACAAAAAUAAAAAUAACAUCUAUGUAUAGUGUAGUGUAUGAUAUUAGGUUAAAUUCGUUAAUUUGAUGUAAACAAACUAAUUCGAAGAAAAUUUGUGAAAUACCUUCCCUCUUAGCCAAAGAGGAGGCCAAGAUAUUAUGUUAGGGUAUCAAAUAGAUGAAUUGAUCUUCUCAAGAAUUAUUCAAAUUAAAAAAGAAAUUUGAUAAUCAAGAUAUUCGGGUCAAUUUGCGCGCACUUAUAACUAAUUUUAUGGGAUAUCUGUCACCUAUAAACUUCCAUCAACAACAGAUAUCAAAUAAUUCAAUUCAUUCAAUUCUUAAUAAAUUUUAUGUUAUUUUUAUACAUUUUUAAGUUUAUAACAAAAUUUGUUUGCUUUUUAUUUUUGCCAUACAUUGCAUAUCAUAAUUUAAACAUUUCUUGACGAUUCAUGGUAAAAUUUUUCAUAUAUCAAUUUAUGUAGGGUAUCAACCUAUUUUCUCAAUGAACUAAAUUGAAUGAGUCAAAACAAACUUGAGCCAAUACAUAACUAAUUCAGACUUAAAUCGAUAAUUAUAUUUUUAUGGUAUAAUAUAAUUUUGCCACGUCCCUAAUAAGUAGGUAAUGAUAGCUAGAUUUAUGCCACUUUGGGGUGAAAAGGUCACUUUAAAUGCACUUUUUGGGGGGGAAAUUGCUACUUGUUCCCCAAAUUAAGGAAUUUAAACUUAAAAGUGAGUGCAAAUUAAAUGAAAAUCACAUAUUAAUCAAUCAUUAUAUGAUAAACACUUGUAAUUGGUUUUGUGCAAGAAUUUGAUGUAUUUGUGUUAUUAAAAGCGCAUUUCUUUCAUUCAUCGUUCAAAUUUAUGAUGUACAUCAAAAUAUACACUACACCAAUGAUAUAUUUCGUUUAAUUUCAUAAAUGGGUUUGGAAAAGGCAGUUUAUAUGCGGCCUUACCCCUACUUACCUUCGAAAUAAAGAUAAAGGAGUUCUCGGUAGACCUUUAACUGAAACAAAAUAUAAAAUCAAAUAUGUAAAGCAAAUACAAUAAUGAAGAAGUCAUACUGGACAGUGAAACAAUGGAGAAAAGAAUCAUUGCAACAAUAAAUAAUAUGAUAAUUGAAGCCAAUGAGACAACAUGUAAUAUUAAAAUCGAAGAAUAAGAUAAUAAUAACAAUAUUAACAACGAAAUUAUACAAUGCUCAUCUACUACUAUUCUUCUAUCCUAAUAUUUAACCUUUGUAUCUUCCUAUUCAAACAUAGAGUUGCAAACUAUAUAUUUGCAUUUUAUUGAUUUGAUUUGCUUUUAAUUUGUUUAAAAUCAAACCAAACCAAACCAAAUAUUAUAGUUUCUUACUAUAAUUUAAUAUCAAAUCAACUCAAAUCAGCAUAAAGAUUAAUUUUUCAAAAUUGAUUUGAUAAGAUUUUUGGAUUUUCUUUGAACAUCUCUAUAUAACAGCUAGUAAUAGUGGAAGGCUCCGCCUCCAAAAUAUUUGACAAGAGAUGGGCCAGAAUAGUCUCCAAGUGAAAAAUCACGUUGUUGCAUUGUGGGCAGACUUGUAAGCACAAAAUGAUACUUUUCAUAGUCAAAUAAUGAUAAAAAAAAUUUAACAAAAUUUAAGUAAUAAUAAAAAUAAUGUUAUAUUUAAACUUUAAAGUAACUAUACAUUGUAAUAUUUAUGGACGUGACGCCUUAGAAAGUUAUGAAAGGUGCGGAUUAGGAUACAAUAUUAGUUAGAUAGUUGAGCGAGACGUUUAUUCUUCUUUACUAUUAGUUGUACUGUGAAUUGUGAAUUGUGUUUCUCUGAUAGUUUUUUUUAGUCUUUUGAGUAUAGUUAUUAGGUUUUAGGUGUCAUUUUUACACUUCCAUCAUCAUGUAUCUUGUUGUUACUAUUGAUUCGAAUUCUUUGUAAGGUUAUCUACAUUAUUUGUCAUUAUUGUCUUCAUUUUCGUUAUUUCUAUUUUAUUUUAGACUGUUUUUUGCUUGAACCGAGGAUCUACUGAAAAUGUCUCCUCUAACUCUAAGAUAGUGAUAUCUAACUCUAAGAUGGUGACACAGAAUAUAUAGACUUUACCUCCACAAAUCAUACUUUAUAUAUCGAGUAUGUGAGUGUAUUAUUAACAAUACCCAAACAAACUUUAAGCUUUUGGAUUUUCUUAGGAGAUGGUGGUGUGUCUAUUUUUGUCACCAUCUCUCUCGUAACAUCUCAAUUAGUAUUGCACUAUUUUCGGAUCAAAUCAACUAAUUAGUGGUCGGACUCUGGAAAGAGAAAUGUCAUCUAUACAACCACAUUCAAUUAUGUUAGGUCCUUUCGUCGGAAUAUAUUUUUCAAACAAAUAUUUAUGGUCAUCACCAAAAAUUAAAAAGUAAAAAUUAAGAAGAACUAUAUUAAAUUAUUUAGUAGUACAUUAUCACAAUUUGACUGGAUCGAAAAUGAAGCUGCAAUCUUUGUAAUGUUACACGAGACAAAAAUUUCACAAACAUUUAGAAUAUAGCAAGAUAUCGAGCCAAAACACAGAAUAAGGGAUCAGUUUAUUUUGCGGGUGUGUGAAAAAAAUAAGGUGAGCAGAUAAGUAAUAGACUAUGUAGCAUAAAUAACCAAAUGGAAGCCGGUCGUGUCUACACAACCAAAGAGUAUGUGUGUAUCAGGACCACACAACUAAAGAGUAUGUGUGCAUGAGGACCUUCUCAAUAAAAUUAGUGGUAUAAAAUCAAAUUUAAAUCAGAGGUCUUACAUAUAUAAAUAUAUAUCCAAAAAUAGUAUUAUAAUAAUUUAAAAUUGUUUUUUGUUGUCGUAUAUUGAUUGUUUUUUUUGUGUAAUAUUUUUAAAAGACACAUAACCUUUAACUUCACAUAUAAUAUGAUUAUAAUAAAAGAAAGAUUCAUUCUAGUUAACAUGAUGUUAGCCAUUUGUUUGCAAUACAUUUACUUGGACAUUAUUAUUAAAACAUUAAUUAUUAAUAUGAAGUUUGAGUUGUUUAAUUCAAAGUUCUAAAAUAUUUCUAGUAAAAAUUAGAUAGCUCUUUCUUUCUGUAUUUUUUAAGAUAAUUUUUUUAAAGCUAUUUCACAAUUAUUAUUAUUAUUUCAAGUGAAGUUGAAAUCAUAAAAUUUACUAUUAUUUUUCAUUUUGAGAUCUCAAAAUUUUGGAGGCCUAAAGCAAACGGGUUAUUAAUUAGUCUUACCCUUGAGUCACCCUUGGUGUGCACCAUCGUACUCCAAUGGAGGGAGAAUCUGUUUCUUGCAUGAACAACAAAGAGAAAAUGCAGACUAGUCGUAGGUGUUUGACCAUCAGAAUUUUUUCAUUUUUUCUGAAAAAUUAUUUCACUUUAAUCAAAAAAGUGAAAAUGGUAGUAUUUGACCAUAAAAGUUAUUUCACUUUAGUGAAAAUUAUUUUUGGAAAAGUGAAAAACUAGUAAAACUUGUUUUCACUCUUAUUUCUUUCCCAAGAUCUCAAAAACUACUUCAACGUAUAUUCAUGGCAAAGCAAAACACCAACUUCAACUGCAACUCCAAACAAUUAUUAUUUUCAUGACCAAACGAAAAGUUGGAAGAGGUGUACCUAAAUCAUACUUGAUAUUGAGUUGAAACAAUUACAUGGGUAUAAAGUUAUUGAGUCAUACCAUGAAGGUUUGGUAAAAGGUAACAGAGUUGAGGCUGAGGAGGAUUGUGACUUAUUUUGAGAAUCAAUUCGAUUUAAUGCAGGUCGCUCGACUAUUAAGGUCAUUCACCACGUGAGGAGCUUAGCGAAACAGUUUAGGAAGGGGAAAAAGGACUUGCGCAUGGUGACUUAUUUUGAGAAUCAAUUCGAUUUAAUGCAGGUCGCUCGACUAUUAAGGUCAUUCACCACGUGAGGAGCUUAGCGAAACAGUUUAGGAAGGGGAAAAAGGACUUGCACAUGGUGUUCAUUGAUCUUAAGAAGACAUAUGAUAAAGUUCCCAUGGAGAUUCUAUGAAGGUGCUUGGAGGCUAGAGGGGUGCUCGUAACGUAUAUUGGGUCAAUUCAGAACACGUACAACGACGCAAAGACUCAUGUGAGGACGGUGGGAGGAGAUUUAGAGCAAAUUUUUGUUUCGACUGACUUGCACUUGGGAUCAACUUUUAGUCCGUUUUUAUUUGCCUUGGUGAUGGAUGUUUUGACUUGAGGCAUUUAAGGAGAUGUCCCUGAGUGUAUGUUAUUUAUUGAUGAUGUUGUACUGAUUGACGAGACUCGGGAGGAGUUAAUGAUAAGUUGGAGGUUUGAAGACAGACCCUCAAGUCUAAAAGAUUUAGGUUAAGCAGGACCAAAACGGAGUACUUGGAAUGUAAGUUUAGUGAUUUGUCGCAUAAGAAUGACGUGGUUAUGAAACUGGAUUCUCAGGUCAUCCAAAAGAGGAGAGUUUCAAGUAUCUUGGGUCUAUGAUUUAGGAGAAUGGUGAGAUGACGAGGAUGUCAUGCACCGUAUUAGCGCAGAGUGGUUGAAAUGGAGACUCGCCUCGAGAGUCUUGUGUGAUAAAAAGGUACCUCCUAAGCUUUAAAGAUAGAGUGAAGUAACAAUUACUGUAUUAUGGUGUAGGGGAUUACUAGAUGCUUAUCUCAAUAAAAAACCUUUUACACAAUUAAACAACUUGUUGUAACUAUAAUACUAAUAAAAAGAAGAAAGAAAAAAGAAACUUUAAAAUUUUGAACUGUUUCAAACCACUCAGAUUUAUCAUGAUUCAUGAUGCAGAUUUCACAGCUCUCUCAACUGAAAAACCAGAGAAUCAUAGUUAAGAAAUGAUUAAAAAUACAUUUGCACACACUAAAACUGACAAAACAAAAAAACUUAGACAAUAAUGAAGCUUUCUUUUAUUUCCCCAUAUUCACAUUGGUACCCUAUUAAUUCAUAUUCACCUAGGUAAGACCUAUUAUUUUUUUUCAUACCCAGAGUUCGAACUAAUCUGAAUUCACGCCCAUAAAAUCCAUUUAAGGGAGAAAUGCAUCUUAACAUGAUCGACUUAUUUUCGUAUCCAAAACUCAAACUCGAAACCUCUAGUCAAGGUUAAUAAAAAUGAAGUUUUGAUUUGAGCAAAACACAUAAAAGGAGAAUUGUUGGAGAUGGUUAGAACAAGAAGAAGCUGACCUUUUUUUUUUUUUUUUUUAUUCUUCUUAAUUUGAUAAACAAAAUGAAGUUUUUCAAUGUUGUAGCAUGUCAAAAAGAUCAAAAUGGGCACCAAUAAAAAGAGAUCCACAUUUAGCUUUUUCACAAUUCUUGAUUCAUUUAGAAAAACUAGACAAACAAACAAAAAGAAGACAAUGUUUUCCUUGUUUGCAAAUGUGAUAUGGUGGAAAACAGAGCUAUAAUAAAUCUGUUUUACGACAACAACAACAACAACAGAGAGUAGAGUGUACGCAAUCUGUACCUCUACAUCAUGGUGAGAUAGAAAUGUUGUUUUCGAUAGAAAGAAAUAUACUUUACAACAACAGAGAGUAGAGCAUACGCAAUCCUUACCUCUACCGUCGAGAUGAGAUAGAGAGGCUGUUUCGGAUAGAAAUAAAUCUGUUUUACAACAGUCACUACCUCUACAUCAGUAUGAGAUAGGGAGGUUGUUUUCGAUAGAAAUAAAAAUGUUUUGCAACAACAAGAAGAAGAGACAGUAGAAUGUACGCAGGUCGUACCUCUACGCCAAGAUGAGAUAGAGAGACUGUUUCCGAUAGAAAUAAAUAUGUUUUGUGUAGUCAAAAAGAAAGGUGAGAAUGGAUGGAGUGGAUAUGAGUAGUGUAUGAAAAGAAAAUGAAAGAUGAAAAUGGUGUUAGGAUUAAAUGCAAAAGACAUAAGAGAGCAGACUGACUGAAAGAGAAGAAAAGGAAUUGCGUGUUUGAGGAAUGAGGGGAGAGAGAAUUG